rnacentral:rRNA from 1 species
AACGAACGCUGGCGGCGUGCCUAACACAUGCAAGUCGAACGCGAAAGUCCUUCGGGAUGAGUAGAGUGGCGCACGGGUGAGUAACACGUAGGUGACCUGCCUUUUAGAGGGGGAAUAACCAGAAGAAAUUUUGGCUAAUGCCGCAUACGAAGUACAAAUCUAAGAGUAGUACUUGAAAGGAUGCCUCUGUAUAUGCAUCCACUAAAAGAUGGGCCUGCGGUACAUUAGCUAGUUGGUGGGGUAAAGGCCUACCAAGGCAACGAUGUAUAUCCGGUCUGAGAGGAUGAUCGGACACACUGGAACUGAGACACGGUCCAGACUCCUACGGGAGGCAGCAGUGGGGGAAAUAUUGCGCAAUGGGGGAAACCCUGACGCAGCAACGCCGCGUGAGUGAGGAAGGACUUCGGUCUGUAAAGCUCUGUUAAUGUGGAAAAAUGGUAGUU